GGCGGAAUGGCCGAGCGGUCUAAGGCGCUAGAUCCAGGCUUCACGGGCGCGAGUUCGAAUCUCGCUUCUGUCA
rnacentral:tRNA from 1 species